AUGUUAAAACUUUCGAACUAUCUCCUUAAACCUCUCUCAUGCUUCAAAAAUAGUUUCAGUCUCCUUCUGGCAGAAGUCAUGGAUUUCCCUUCUAAAUUU
rfam:Nicotiana attenuata strain TT chromosome 6, whole genome shotgun sequence.